rnacentral:rRNA from 1 species
GCCCUGGAAACGGGGUCUAAUACCGGAUAUGACCGUCUUGGGCAUCCUUGACGGUGUAAAGCUCCGGCGGUGCAGGAUGAGCCCGCGGCCUAUCAGCUUGUUGGUGAGGUAGUGGCUCACCAAGGCGACGACGGGUAGCCGGCCUGAGAGGGCGACCGGCCACACUGGGACUGAGACACGGCCCAGACUCCUACGGGAGGCAGCAGUGGGGAAUAUUGCACAAUGGGCGAAAGCCUGAUGCAGCGACGCCGCGUGAGGGAUGACGGCCUUCGGGUUGUAAACCUCUUUCAGCAGGGAAGAAGCGAGAGUGACGGUACCUGCAGAAGAAGCGCCGGCUAACUACGUGCCAGCAGCCGCGGUAAUACGUAGGGCGCAAGCGUUGUCCGGAAUUAUUGGGCGUAAAGAGCUCGUAGGCGGCUUGUCACGUCGGUUGUGAAAGCCCGGGGCUUAACCCCGGGUCUGCAGUCGAUACGGGCAGGCUAGAGUUCGGUAGGGGAGAUCGGAAUUCCUGGUGUAGCGGUGAAAUGCGCAGAUAUCAGGAGGAACACCGGUGGCGAAGGCGGAUCUCUGGGCCGAUACUGACGCUGAGGAGCGAAAGCGUGGGGAGCGAACAGGAUUAGAUACCCUGGUAGUCCACGCCGUAAACGGUGGGCACUAGGUGUGGGCAACAUUCCACGUUGUCCGUGCCGCAGCUAACGCAUUAAGUGCCCCGCCUGGGGAGUACGGCCGCAAGGCUAAAACUCAAAGGAAU